AGCUUUUACCUUCAUAAUUUACUUUCUUCAAAAUUAGAAACAAAAAAAGAAGUUCUUUCAAUUUUUCUAUAGCUUUUUAGAAUUGUUGUUUUACUUAUUCUGGAAGAAACCUCCCAGAAUAAAUCCAUAUAGGGGAAUUCGAACCCAAGGAAAGACCAUGUAUAUGAGCUCCAAUUGUUAGGGUCACACAAUUAACUGCUAUUGCUGAA
rnacentral:lncRNA from 1 species